GUCCAUGCCGUAAACGGUGGGCGCUAGGUGUAGGGGUCUUCCACGACUUCUGUGCCGUAGCUAACGCAUUAAGCGCCCCGCCUGGGGAGUACGGCCGCAAGGCUAAAACUCAAAGGAAUUGACGGGGGCCCGCACAAGCGGCGGAGCAUGUGGAUUAAUUCGAUGCAACGCGAAGAACCUUACCUGGGCUUGACAUGUACGGGACCGCCUCAGAGAUGUGGCUUCCCUUGUGGCUCGUAUACAGGUGGUGCAUGGUUGUCGU
rnacentral:rRNA from 1 species